CACAUUUUCACAGUAUUUAUAAAAACCACUUCCCACUGCAGACAGAACUUUUGUCAUCUAAUGGGCGAUUUCUUUGUGGAACAUGCCGAUGAGCCAGCAAUGUACCGUUGUUGGCAAUGUACUGUUGUUUGUACGGAAUUUUGUAAUUUCAGGCAUGUUGCAUUAGACUAGGAUCCCCUCCCCUUUAUUAUGUUUUUAUAACUUAGAAAUUUUAAACAGUCAUGUAUUUUCCGUUCCCUUACGUAAUACCAUAAAUCUGAAGUGACUGACAUGAAAAAUCAGUGAUUAUUUCAGUAACAUGUUUGAUUUGUGCCAUUGCUAAUGAAUAAUAGAUGCUGGAGGGUCAAUAUAAAAAAACCGGUCAAUUCGAAAAAUCAUAAAAGGAUGAAUAAUUUGUAAAAUAUUAGCUACAAAAUGAAAAUUAUGAUCUUCAUUACAAGCACAUAAACUUUUAUUUAGGAAUUUUUAGUCCUCAAUACUCUUCAAAUCGUACUUUAUUUAACCUUUUUAACUUUCUUUGUUUCAAGCGUCACUGAUGAGUCUUUUGUAGACAAAACGCGCGUCUGGCGCAAAUACAAAAUUUUAAUCCUGGUAAUCUAUGAGUUUUUUUUAUUGUAUUUUUUCUUUUGAUCUUGAUAAUACUUACUUUAUUUAACGUAAGUUGUAUACUAAUUUAGUUUGUUUAUUGACUCCUUAUGUACUAUUUCACCCCUAAUAGAUAAGAUCUGUCAAGUGAAAUGUCUUUUGACACCAAGUAUACCACGUUCGGCAUAUAUUCAUUCAUUAAUUUCUUUUUAACAAUCAUGACAAUGCUAUACACAUGUUUUAUGUUUAUAUUAUGUUAAUGUUAUAGUUUAAUAAAUAUUUUAGUUUUGAUAU
rnacentral:lncRNA from 1 species